rnacentral:snRNA from 1 species
AUUGUAAUAGGAAAACGGUCUAUU